rnacentral:tRNA from 1 species
GCCUGGCAGGUUCAGUCGGGAGAGCAUGCGACUGUGGAUCUCAGGGUCGUGGGUUCAAGCCUCACGUUCGGCA